CCGGUGGGUGGGGUGGGGGGCGUGGGGACGCUAGGAUAUGGCAGGACAUUUCUACAGCUCCGUGACUCUGGGCUUUUCGUUGCGAGCUCGCUCAGUAUUGGCCCAAACAAAGAACAUCCGAAUGCGAGCGCCCGGCCGCCGGGCCCUUCCCGGACUCCCUCCAGCGCUCCUAGUCCUGCUGUAGGUGGGGACCUUGCCUCGGUCUUUGUGCCGCCUCCCCAGGCACACCCAGACAGCCGAGCCGCAGUGAAAACCUGUUCCACUUCCUCGGCGAACAGGGUGUAAAAUAGGGAUCGACGAACGCCAGGUACCAAAGGAGAAGAAGACGCGCGAGAAACCCUUUCUCCUCGAUGUCAUAAAGGAACAUUUUCUUAGUCCCAUCUUCCCAUGGUGUGUACAUCUGAAGCUAGAUGAUAAUACCAGCUGUUUGAAGCCGCUUAUGUUACAAAUGGGGAAAUCGAGUCUCUCAAAAAUCAAAUGCCAAGGUCAUAACAGUAAGUGGAGAGGCAAGUUUAUAACCCAGUUCCGAAGCCCACGUGCCAUCUGUUCACGACAACACGCUCACUACGUGUCCUAGUGAGAACCUGAACUAAAAUGUAGACUGGCCUGCAGUGGAUCCAUUUUUUUUUUAACCUCUGUACACCUGGUGGCUAGCCCAGUGCUGCCUAACACGUAAGAACCACGUAAAUAUUUAAUAAAUGAGUUUUGGCAACGUGAAGAUGUCCAGAGAUUUGACUAAGAUAACAUAAAUGCUGUGAAAAGUCUAAAAGAUGGCUAAGAAUUCCUGCACGAUGUCUCUUUUUUCCCCAUUUUUAAUGUCUGCCUAGCUCAUUUGGUGAGAAUGCAGUAAAGAGGGGUGUAAUUAUGCUCCUAAGAGGUGUUGAACCCCUCCAAGUUAAAGGAGUGUGUAUUGGCUUUGUGAUUUGUAUACAUCAGCAUUAUGGUUGCUUGUUUUCUUCAAAAUAAUACUAUUCUGUAUUAUCAUGUCAUCCUUGAUUUGAGAGUCUGAAAACAGUUUCCAGUUACUGCUAUUUCUUAGAGUAUUUGACUUUUCUUCCGACAGGUGAGAAAAUUAGAGUUUCUUUAACCAUGAGUACCAUCAAAAGGUCACAUUUACCCCCUUUCCUACCCAACCUCUGAAAGAAAAUGAUUUUCUAAAGAGAGGCAGCAUGAUAUGGGAAGAAUAUUGGAGUCAUAUGAACAUGAGGAAUUGAGGCAAAACCCAAAUUUGAAACAAAGACAUCUAGCUCCAGAAUCUAGCAGAUUUGGAUAAUUGAAUCGAAACCAGGGGUUACAUCUGCUUGUUUGGAAUGAGUGUCUUUGUAACCAUGAGCCUAUUUAGAGCCAGUGGAAGUGGACCCCAUCUCUUAUCAACAGUGAUUAAGGACUGUCUUUCAGAAAAUCUGCAAAGUCAUGGAGCCAGAGUAUGCACAGAAGAGGAAAUGUUGACCUGAAAUGACUGCAGAACCAAAGAUCCUCCUCUUCACAGAACCAAAGGAUGGGGACACGACUUGAACUUAAAAGUCAGACUCUUAUCAGAAGCGAGGGGUCCCUCAUUCAGGAAGAUCUGGUGUUAAAAUUCUUUCCCCAGCCUAUCAUUAAUGUGUAGAACCUCAUCAUAAAAGUUUAGAACCUCAUCAUAAAAGUUUAGAACCCUGUCAUAAAUGUUUAGAACUUUACCAUAAAUGUUUGAAGCUCACCAAUCAAAACCUGUGCCACCAGCAUUUCUGAGUGCCAGCCUGUUCUUCCUAACCUCUUAAUUGUGCCCCAAAUCCUGACUCAGGGAGACAGAUCCGAGGGCACAUGCCCCCUGUCUCCCUGCAGAUCAAUCUCACAGAAUAAAGCUGAUUUCUCCCCUAAAAGCUGAUGCCAUAAUGCACAUUUGUUAAUGCACAUUGGGCAAGAGAACCUCAGCUUUGUGCGGUAACAUCUUCAUUGAUGCUUCAUUGAUUGCUUAGUUAAAAUUAUA